AACGCACAUUGCGCCCGCUGGUAUUCCGGCGGGCAUGCCUGUCCGAGCGUCAUUUCGUCCCUCAAGCCCCCGCGCUUGGUGUUGGGCACCCCGCGGGAACCUCCCCGCGGGCGCCCCAAAUGCAUCGGCGGUUCCGCCCAGCGGCUCCCUGCGUAGUAGAAUCUCUUCUCGCAUCGGGUCUUGGGCGCGGCCGGCCGCUAAACCCCCCAAUCGUAUCAACGGUUGACCUCGGAUCAGGUAGGACUACCCGCUGAACUUAA
rnacentral:misc_RNA from 1 species